AUAAGCGGAGGAAAAGAAACCAACAGGGAUUGCCCUAGUAACGGCGAGUGAAGCGGCAUCAGCUCAAAUUUGAAAUCUGGCUCUUUUAGAGUCCGAGUUGUAAUUUGCAGAGGGCGCUUUGGCAUAGGCAGCGAUUCAAGUUCCUUGGAACAGGACGUCACAGAGGGUGAGAAUCCCGUACGUGGUCGCCAGCUCUUGCCGUGUAAAGCCCCUUCGACGAGUCGAGUUGUUUGGGAAUGCAGCUCUAAAUGGGAGGUAAAUUUCUUCUAAAGCUAAAUAUUGGCCAGAGACCGAUAGCGCACAAGUAGAGUGAUCGAAAGAUGAAAAGUACUUUGGAAAGAGAGUCAAAAAGCACGUGAAAUUGUUGAAAGGGAAGCGCUUGCAGCCAGACUUGCCUGUAGUUGCUCAUCCGGGCUCUUGCCCGGUGCACUCUUCUAUAGGCAGGCCAGCAUCAGUUUGGGCGGUUGGAUAAAGGUCUCUGUCAUGUACCUCUCUUCGGGGAGGCCUUAUAGGGGAGGCGACAUACAACCAGCCUGGACUGAGGUCCGCGCAUUCGUGCUAGGAUGCUGGCGUAAUGGCUGUAAGCGGCCCGUCUUGAAACACGGACCAAGGAGUCUAACAUCUAUGCGAGUGUUUGGGUGUCAAGCCCGAGCGCGUAAUGAAAGUGAACGGAGGUAGGAACCCUUUUGGGUGCACUAUCGACCGAUCCUGAUGUCUUCGGAAGGAUUUGAGUAAGAGCAUGGCUGUUGGGACCCGAAAGAUGGUGAACUAUGCUUGAAUAGGGUGAAGCCAGAGGAAACUCUGGUGGAGGCUCGCAGCGGUUCUGACGUGCAAAUCGAUCGUCAAAUUUGGGCAUAGGGGCGAAAGACUAAUCGAACAUCUAGU
rnacentral:rRNA from 1 species